UGGGGGAUAUUGCACAAUGGGCGAAAGCCUGCUGCAGCGACGCCGCGUGGGGGAUGAAGGCCUUCGGGUUGUAAACUUCUUUUGCUCUGAACAAGGCAUGCCUUUGGGGUUUGUUGAGUGUAGGGGUUGAUUAGCGCCGGCUAACUACGUGCCAGCAGCCGCGGUAAUACGUAGGGCGCGAGCGUUGUCCGGAAUUAUUGGGCGUAAAGGGCUUGUAGGUGGCUGGUUGCGUCUGUCGUGAAAGCUCAUGGCUUAACUGUGGGUUUGCGGUGGGUACGGGCUGGCUUGAGUGCAGUAGGGGAGGCUGGAAUUCCUGGUGUAGCGGUGGAAUGCGCAGAUAUCAGGAGGAAUACCGGUGGCGAAGGCGGGUCUCUGGGCUGUUACUGACGCUGAGGAGCGAAAGCGUGGGGAGCGAACAGG
rnacentral:rRNA from 1 species